AUGAGUAGCAUAUUUAAAAAACCUGGAUCAUAAAUAAUUGUUUAAUAGGUUAUCAAUUCCCAUCUUUCAUCCCAAUCCCAACUUUUUCUUUAAGACUUUAAUCCUAGCCGCUUCGUUCCCAAUUCCCAUCUUUCAUCAUCCUCUUCUCUCUCUCUCUCUCUCUCCAACCAAACACAACCAAAACCCAGAAAUCCCACCUCAGAAAUCAAGCUCAACCACUUCCCCAACCUCCAAUCCCACCUCCCCUCAGUUUUCGUGUCAAAUCGGCAGAACUCACUGCCCAAUUUCUUGGUGUGCUGUAUUUGCUCACUAUUGUUUGGCUGACUUGGUGGCCUCGAAGAGAAACCUGCGGCAGCUUGUUUUAUUGGUGGGGCCGAAUGAGUUUUGUGUGGAGUUCGAUGGAGGACGUCGACGUCUGCUUCUCUUUUUGUUGUUGGGGCUUGGUUGGUCUUCACCUCUGGUGUUUGUUGGUUGCUGGUUCAUGGUCGCCGGAGCUUGCUUGACGGCGGCUAGGGUUUUCAGGUUUUUAGGUUUUUUUCUUUCUUUUUCGGGCUCAACCCUUGGUUUGGUUGUUGUUGUGCUGGCCCUUUUUUUGUUUGUGGUUAGUUGUGGCCUUUUGUUAUGUACGUAACUUUCUAGUAAUGAAAGUUUACCUUU
rnacentral:sRNA from 1 species